UCCUUGAGGACUAGUGGUUAGGCCUCGGCACUCUCACUGCUGCAGCCCGGGUUCGACUCCUGGCCAGGGAA
rnacentral:tRNA from 1 species